rnacentral:rRNA from 1 species
GAUGAACGCUAGCUACAGGCUUAACACAUGCAAGUCGAGGGGCAGCAUGAACAAAGCUUGCUUUGUUUGAUGGCGACCGGCGCACGGGUGCGUAACACGUAUCCAAUCUGCCCGCGGCUCGGGGAUAGCCCAUCGAAAGAUGGAUUAAUACCCGAUGGCGUGGUUUCUCCGCAUGGAGUUUCCACUAAAGGUUUUCCGGCCGCGGAUGAGGAUGCGUAUGAUUAGGUAGUAGGCGGGGUAACGGCCCACCUAGCCUUCGAUCAUUAGGGGUUCUGAGAGGAAGGUCCCCCACACUGGAACUGAGACACGGUCCAGACUCCUACGAGAGGCAGCAGUGAGGAAUAUUGGUCAAUGGGCGAGAGCCUGAACCAGCCAAGUAGCGUGAAGGAAGACUGCCCUAUGGGUUGUAAACUUCUUUUGUUCGGGAAUAAAGUGCAGUACGCGUACUGUUUUGUAUGUACCGUUCGAAUAAGCAUCGGCUAAUUCCGUGCCAGCAGCCGCAGUAACAC